rnacentral:rRNA from 1 species
AGAGUUUGAUCCUGGCUCAGGAUGAACGCUGGCGGCGUGCCUAAUACAUGCAAGUCGAACGAAACUUCUUUAUCACCGAGUGCUUGCACUCACCGAUAAAGAGUUGAGUGGCGAACGGGUGAGUAACACGUGGGCAACCUGCCCAAAAGAGGGGGAUAACACUUGGAAACAGGUGCUAAUACCGCAUAACCAUAGUUACCGCAUGGUAACUAUGUAAAAGGUGGCUAUGCUACCGCUUUUGGAUGGGCCCGCGGCGCAUUAGCUAGUUGGUGGGGUAAAGGCUUACCAAGGCAAUGAUGCGUAGCCGAACUGAGAGGUUGAUCGGCCACAUUGGGACUGAGACACGGCCCAAACUCCUACGGGAGGCAGCAGUAGGGAAUCUUCCACAAUGGGCGAAAGCCUGAUGGAGCAACGCCGCGUGGGUGAAGAAGGUCUUCGGAUCGUAAAACCCUGUUGUUAGAGAAGAAAGUGCGUGAGAGUAACUGUUCACGUUUCGACGGUAUCUAACCAGAAAGCCACGGCUAACUACGUGCCAGCAGCCGCGGUAAUACGUAGGUGGCAAGCGUUAUCCGGAUUUAUUGGGCGUAAAGGGAACGCAGGCGGUCUUUUAAGUCUGAUGUGAAAGCCUUCGGCUUAACCGGAGUAGUGCAUUGGAAACUGGGAGACUUGAGUGCAGAAGAGGAGAGUGGAACUCCAUGUGUAGCGGUGAAAUGCGUAGAUAUAUGGAAGAACACCAGUGGCGAAAGCGGCUCUCUGGUCUGUAACUGACGCUGAGGUUCGAAAGCGUGGGUAGCAAACAGGAUUAGAUACCCUGGUAGUCCACGCCGUAAACGAUGAAUGCUAAGUGUUGGAGGGUUUCCGCCCUUCAGUGCUGCAGCUAACGCAAUAAGCAUUCCGCCUGGGGAGUACGACCGCAAGGUUGAAACUCAAAGGAAUUGACGGGGGCCCGCACAAGCGGUGGAGCAUGUGGUUUAAUUCGAAGCAACGCGAAGAACCUUACCAGGUCUUGACAUCUUUUGACAAUCCUAGAGAUAGGACUUUCCCUUCGGGGACAAAAUGACAGGUGGUGCAUGGUUGUCGUCAGCUCGUGUCGUGAGAUGUUGGGUUAAGUC